CCCGGGUCUUGUACACACCGCCCGUCACACCAUGGGAGUUGAUUGCACCAGAAGUAGGUAGCCUAACCGUAAGGGGGGCGUUUACCACGGUGUGGUCAAUGACUGGGGUG
rnacentral:rRNA from 1 species